rnacentral:rRNA from 1 species
AUUGAACGCUGGCGGCAGGCCUAACACAUGCAAGUCGAACGGUAACAGGAAGAAGCUUGCUUCUUUGCUGACGAGUGGCGGACGGGUGAGUAAUGUCUGGGAAACUGCCUGAUGGAGGGGGAUGACUACUGGAAACGGUAGCUAAUACCGCAUAACGUCGCAAGACCAAAGAGGGGGACCUUCGGGCCUCUUGCCAUCGGAUGUGCCCAGAUGGGAUUAGCUAGUAGGUGGGGUAACGGCUCACCUAGGCGACGAUCCCUAGCUGGUCUGAGAGUAUGACCAGCCACACUGGAACUGAGACACGGUCCAGACUCCUACGGGAGGCAGCAGUGGGGAAUAUUGCACAAUGGGCGCAAGCCUGAUGCAGCCAUGCCGCGUGUAUGAAGAAGGCCUUCGGGUUGUAAAGUACUUUCAGCGGGGAGGAAGGGAGUAAAGUUAAUACCUUUGCUCAUUGACGUUACCCGCAGAAGAAGCACCGGCUAACUACGUG